rnacentral:rRNA from 1 species
AUGGCGACCGGCGCACGGGUGAGUAACACGUAUCCAACCUGCCGAUGACUCGGGGAUAGCCUUUCGAAAGAAAGAUUAAUACCCGAUGGCAUAGUUCUUCCGCAUGGUAGAACUGUUAAAGAAUUUCGGUCAUCGAUGGGGAUGCGUUCCAUUAGCUUGUUGGCGGGGUAACGGCCCACCAAGGCAUCGAUGGAUAGGGGUUCUGAGAGGAAGGUCCCCCACAUUGGAACUGAGACACGGUCCAAACUCCUACGGAAGGCAGCAG